UCCUGAGGGAUGGCUCAGUUGGUAGAGCACGAGACUCUUGAUCUCAGGGUCGUGUGUUCAAGCCCCGUGUUGGGUGAA